GUUACCAGUCCACGAUGUUUAUAAUCCUUUCUUCAUGAAGUCCAAUCUUUUCAAGUUUUUUAUAUCAAAAACACUCAAAAACAACCCGGGAUCGCGUGGCAACAAAAGAAAGUUUCAAGCGCCACAGGUGAGUGAGUCAUGCUUUGGAAAUGACAAUAAAUUUUUAUUACCCAACACUUGAGUUGUUUUGUUUUUCAUUUACCCAACCUUA